GGGGUAGGGGUGGGGGUGGGGGGCGGGGCUUGUUGGCCUCUGCAGGCUCAGGGAGGCAGGUGGCCCCGUCUAGUCGGCCAUCCACCCUGCAAAACCGCGGCUCGGGAGGCCCAACCGGGCGAGCUGGACGCGCUCGCAGCACUGGGGACCGUGAGCUCCCGGCCGCAGGGUCGGUGUGAAUCACCCCAGAGCUCUUAGAAACACCGACAGCCAGGUUGCCCAGUUCUGGGGAAGUGAGGGGGGAUUUCUAGGACUGGGGCCCGACGGAAGGUAUUUUUUGAGCGUUCACCAGGCAAUUAUGUGUAGUCGGCGUUGAGAAUCGCCACUGCCUACUCAUGGAUGGCACUGUCGGGCUGGUUUGAGUGAAGUCAGGUGCGUAAAGUUUCCUGCACACAGUAGGUCUUAAAAACGUUUGAGCUCGUCUACCCUGGCCCCGCCUUCUCGCCAGGAGUAAUCAGUCCUACAAUAGCUGUAUUGAUAGACAUUGGAGAGCUCAUCCUGUAGAAGCAGUGAUGCAAGAAAGCUUCGGGUUUUUUUUUUUUUAAUUAUCCCGUGGAACACUUGUUAUUCAGAAUUUAAAACAUUAUAGAUAAAAGAACAUUUCUCAGUGAAGUCUAAUACUGUUCAAAUUCAUUUUUACCUGAAAGAUACACAGUUAACACCACAGAUAGCUGGAAUUUUCUUGUCUUCCAUACAUUAAGGAGUUCUCAGGUCAGGCCUAGGAGGAUGAUGGUGAUGGUUUCUCCAAAUAAUGAAAUUCCCACUAUGGGAACCAAGAGUACAAGUGAUAUAGAGUAGGAGCUCCAAGCUGAAAGGGUGUGUUGUUCCCUUAGGUACAGAAGGAGAGGUUUCUGCAGAGCUCGAGUCGGCCAGCUAGUAGCCACUAGCCACCUGAAGUGUGGGUAGGCCAGAUUGAGAUCUGCUCUAAGUGUAAAAUGCACACUGGAUUACUAAAAUAAGAGGCCAAGGAACUGAGGGCAGCUUCCAGCCAACAGCCAGAAAGGAACCAAGACCCUCAGUCCAGUAGCUUGUUAGGAACUGAGUCCUACCAAGGACCAGAACAUGAACUUAGAAGUGGACGCUUCUCUAGUUGAGCCUUGAGAUGCCUUCAGCCCCAGUGAACACCUUGACUGCAGCCUUCUGAGAGAUCCUGAGCCAGAGGACACUGUUAAACCUCACCCAGAUUCCUGAUCCAUAGAAUUAUGAGGUAAGGAGUCUCAGACCAAGGGAGAAGACAUGAUUUGCCCAAGAUUGCCCAACUAGUUGGAAUUAGAAACCAGCUCUUUGGAUCCAAGUCUGGAGUAUUAGUGAUGACUCUCUGAAUGGAAAAGAAAAACGUACUUCUGGUUAAUUAAAUGCAUAUCUAAACUUUAAAUAAAAACCAUUUCCUACACUGGGCUUCAAGAUGGGGGAGUAGUAAGACGUGGAGAUCACCUUCCUCCCCACAAAUACGUCAGAAAUACAUCUACAUGUGGAACAACUCCUACAGAACACCUACUGAAUGCUGGCAGAAGACC